UAAUCAAAUGUCAAGAUGGGGUUAUGGGACGAUUUGUUAAGAUUUUUAUUGAGAAAUCAGAGUUUAUGACUUUAUGUGAAGUUGAGAUAACAGGUCAUAAAGUUGAUGAUUCCUCUUACAAGAACCCGUAUAAUGCGGACAGGUGUGAACGAUUUCCAAAUGGACCGAACCUUGCCUUGGGUAAGCCUACUGUGCAGAGCUCAACCUACAUACAUUAUAUGCCGUUGCCAUCAUCACUGGCUGUCGAUGGGAAUAGAAAUGGUGAUAUAAAUCAAUUUAGCUGCAGUCAUAC